rnacentral:lncRNA from 1 species
CAGAUAGCCUAUUGGAAAGUGAUUUAAAUUUGCAGAGCAAUCCGGAUUGCAAACUUGAUGAAUAUAUAUCAGAAGCGAUGGACAUAGCUGCAACAAGAAUAGUGAAAUUCUGGUUACAUCCAAAUAUUAUAUUUAACAAUUCAUCUAUGGGGAAACGGCUACAAGAAAUUCUUUCCCCCUUAAAUAAAAUAACAAACGAGG